AUGGAGGUGGAUGAGUCCUCGCCGUCGUCGCUGCUGUCCUCGCCCUCAUCUCUUUCCUCUGACUCCAUUGACCUCAACUUCCUGCCGUUCCUGAGGAGGGAGCCCAAGUCGGAGCCGGCUUCUCCUGAGCAUGGCCCUCUGCCGCCACCGCUGCCGCUGCCGCUGCCGCCGCAGGCCACGGCUGCUAUUGCGGUGGCGUUCGCGGCACCGACAACGCCUGACCUGUCUUCGCCUGAGGUCCUGACGCCUCUGCAGUCGCUGCCACCAAACCCCGACGAGGACGCGCUCUUCGCGGAGUACUGCCGAUUGGCGAGCCUCUACCUGUUAUCAGCGGGGGCCGGGGCGAUCGUGCCAGCGCCGACGCCUGAGGCCGCGGCGCCGGCGGCAGUGCAGCCUGGGUCGGGGUCCGCGGCGAAGAAGCGCCGGCCGCGGUCGUCAGAGUUGGUACGGGUGUCCUCACUUAGCGUGCGGGAUCAGAUCUAUUUUCGUGAUUUGGUGCGCCGGGCGCGCAUCACCUUCGAGUCGCUCCGCGGCCUGCUGCUGAAGGACGACGAGCGCGCGGAGGCGCUCGGUCUUGCGGGCGUCAUCGGGCUUGGCUCAGUGGACCGGCGUCGCGUGCGCGCCGACCUGCGGGCUGCGGCGCUCAUGGCCGACCGAGACCUGUGGCUCAACCGCGACCGCCGCAUAGUGGGGCCGAUACCUGGGAUUGCUGUCGGCGAUGCCUUCUUCUUCCGCAUGGAGCUAUGUGUGCUGGGCCUCCAUGGCCAGGUGCAGGCCGGGAUUGAUUAUCUCUCAGCAGGGCAAUCUGCCUCAGGCGAGCCUAUAGCCACAUCUAUUAUUGUCUCUGGUGGGUAUGAAGAUGAUGAUGAUCGUGGUGAUGUACUGGUGUACACCGGCCAUGGUGGCCGAGACCCCAACCUGCACAAGCAUUGCGUCGACCAGAAGCUUGAGGGCGGCAAUCUUGCCCUCGAGCGCAGCAUGGCCUAUGGUAUUGAGAUUCGUGUAAUCCGUGCUGUCAAGUCUAAGCGCAGCCCUGUUGGAAAGGUCUACUUCUACGACGGCCUCUACAAGGUUGUUGACUACUGGCUCGAUCGCGGGAAAGCAGGCUUUGGUGUUUACAAGUAUAAAAUGAUUCGCAUUGAAGGGCAGGAGCCCAUGGGAUCUGUGAAUUAUCGCGCAGCUGAACAUCUUAAGGUGGAUGCACUAUCUAUGCGACCAACUGGAUACCUGAGCUUUGAUAUUUCCAUGGGUCGAGAGAUUAUGCCAGUUGCACUAUAUAAUGAUGUCGAUGAUGAUAGGGACCCACUCUUAUUUGAGUACCUGGCACGGCCAAUAUUCCCAUCUUCUGCAGUUCAAGGGAAGUUUGCUGAGGGUGGUGGUGGGUGUGGGUGCAUCGAGAAUUGCUCAAUUGGAUGUUAUUGUGCAGAAAGGAAUGGGGGUGAGUUUGCGUAUGAUAAAGCUGGUGUUCUUCUAAGGGGCAAACCACUGCUGUAUGAGUGUGGUCCAUAUUGCCAAUGCCCACCUAGCUGCCCCAACAGGGUUAGUCAGAAGGGGCUUAAGAAUAGGCUUGAGGUGUUCCGGUCAAGGGAAACUGGGUGGGGUGUUCGGUCUCUGGAUCUCAUUAAGUCUGGCACGUUCAUCUGUGAGUUUAGUGGGAUUGUGCUUACUCAUCAGCAGUCAGAGAUAGUGGCAGCCAGUGGUGAUUGUUUGGUGCAUCCGAACAGGUUCCCUUCAAGGUGGUUAGAUUGGGGUGAUAUCUCUGAUGUAUAUCCUGAGUAUGUCGCUCCGAACCAUCCUGCCACUACAGACUUGAACUUUUCGAUUGAUGUCUCAAGGGCAAGGAAUGUGGCUUGUUAUUUCAGCCAUAGUUGCAGUCCAAAUGUAUUUAUUCAGUUUGUGCUGUUUGACCACUACAACGUGUCUUAUCCCCACCUCAUGAUCUUUGCCCUGGAGAACAUUCCGCCCUUGAGGGAGCUAAGCAUUGACUAUGGAAUGAUUGAUGAAUGGGUUGGAAAGUUAACUAUGUAG
rnacentral:rRNA from 1 species